GCCCGGGUGGUGGAAUGGUAGACACAGGGGACUUAAAAUCCCCCGGUCAUUGUGACCGUGCCGGUUCAAGUCCGGCUCCGGGUACCA
rnacentral:tRNA from 10 species